rnacentral:rRNA from 1 species
UACGGAGGGAGCUAGCGUUGUUCGGAAUUACUGGGCGUAAAGCGCACGUAGGCGGCUUUGUAAGUUAGAGGUGAAAGCCCGGAGCUCAACUCCGGAACUGCCUUUAAAACUGCAUCGCUAGAAUUGUGGAGAGGUAAGUGGAAUUCCGAGUGUAGAGGUGAAAUUCGUAGAUAUUCGGAAGAACACCAGUGGCGAAGGCGACUUACUGGACACAUAUUGACGCUGAGGUGCGAAAGCGUGGGGAGCAAACAGG